UCUCGAUUGGUCUAGUGGCUAGGAUACCUGCUUGUCAAUUGGUCGUUUCAUUACUACCGAAUGAGCAAGCCGCAGGUGGCCGGGGUUCGAUUCCCCGAUCGAGAG